rnacentral:rRNA from 1 species
CCUACGGGUGGCUGCAGUGGGGAAUAUUGGACAAUGGGCGAAAGCCUGAUCCAGCCAUGCCGCGUGUGUGAAGAAGGCCUUCGGGUUGUAAAGCACUUUCAGUGGGGAAGAAAGCCUUGGGGCUAAUACCCUCGAGGAAGGACAUCACCCACAGAAGAAGCACCGGCUAACUCCGUGCCAGCAGCCGCGGUAAUACGGAGGGUGCGAGCGUUAAUCGGAAUUACUGGGCGUAAAGCGCGCGUAGGCGGUCUGAUAAGCCGGUUGUGAAAGCCCCGGGCUCAACCUGGGAACGGCAUCCGGAACUGGCAGGCUAGAGUGUAGGAGAGGAGGGUAGAAUUCCCGGUGUAGCGGGGAAAUGCGUAGAGAUCGGGAGGAAUACCAGUGGCGAAGGCGGCCUUCUGGACAGAGACUGACGCUGAGGUGCGAAAGCGUGGGUAGCAAACAGGAUUAGAUACCCCAGUAGUC